AACUCACAACUUUGCUGGUCCGAAACGCAUCGUUUGGCUUGCACUGCAUAGCCGAAGGCAUGAGGACGCGAGAUGAGUUCGAAGUUUCCCCUAAGAGAAUAAAGAGGAGACCCUUUGGAGUUGUCGAACCUUGGCCUGAAGGUGAAGCAGUCUUCAAGGACCUGCAGCGUGUUGAGGGGCUCGUGUAUGACCAAGCCAUUUGAAGAAGUUUGGCUCAGCAACUCUGUAUGGAGAAAGCUAAGAAAAUAUAUUGCUUCCAUAAUGCUGAUGCGGACAAUAAACUGAGUGGGGCAGUUGAAAAUGCUGUUUUUGAGCUUGAACUGCGUGAUGAAUUUGGGUCACGGUUUAAGAAACUCAUCUCGGAAAAAGUCAGAAAUAACUAGUAAUUUCUCCAGGCCACAGCAACCAAGGUGGUAAUGUGUUUCAGCAUGUGAUUAUUUAAUUAAUUAUGACGAAUCAAAUCCAUCAAAAAAUGAAGAAACUGAAGCAUAGUUGACAACUGUGUAAUAAUAAUAUACCAUGGAGAUGGAAGAUUGAAUCCUGAAGGAAUUUAUUACAUUAUGAAUUAGUGCACCACUCACACACAGUGGUGUUCAUUUACGCUUGUAGUUUAAAGACCAGGUUUACAAACGGUGGUCUUCUUUCCAUAGAAUGAAUGUUUUUUCUAGUCCUUGUUUUUGGCAUAUAUGUAAACUUAUGACAAGAGAACUUCUCAAGUUACUUGGGGGAACUAAUAUGUAUUCGGAUUAUUAUUAACAAAAAAGAAGUCUGAGACAUAGCUCACCUUUAUCUGUUA